rnacentral:rRNA from 1 species
UGCCAGUGAUAAACUGGAGGAAGGUGGGGAUGACGUCAAGUCAUCAUGGCCCUUACGACCAGGGCUACACACGUGCUACAAUGGCGCAUACAAAGAGAAGCGACCUCGCGAGAGCAAGCGGACCUCAUAAAGUGCGUCGUAGUCCGGAUUGGAGUCUGCAACUCGACUCCAUGAAGUCGGAAUCGCUAGUAAUCGUGGAUCAGAAUGCCACGGUGAAUACGUUCCCGGGCCUUGUACACACCGCCCGUCACACCAUGGGAGUGGGUUGC